CCCUUAGACGUUCUGGGCCGCACGCGCGCUACACUGACCAGUGCAACAAGCAUCCGUCCUUGGCCGACAGGCCCGGGCAAUCUUUGAACGCUGGUCGUGAUGGGGAUAGACUUUUGCAAUUUUUGGUCUUCAACGAGGAAUUCCUAGUAAACGCAAGUCAUCAACUUGCAUUGAUUACGUCUCUGCCCUUUGUACACACCGCCCGUCGCACCUACCGAUUGAAUGGUCCGGUGAAGCCUCCGGAUUGGCGCGCACCUCGGUGCCGCCGAGAAGUUGGCUAAACCUUACCAUUUAGAGGAAGGUGAAGUCGUAACA
rnacentral:rRNA from 1 species